GAGUACUGAGCCACUCUUCAAGACUCCUUAAGCACAGUAAGAACUUAGAUUAAGAAUAGAAAAUAAGAUUGAUACUGAGGACUAUUACCCUCUCCAAAAUCCAUGAAAAACAAGAUAGAAAGAGAGAUAUAUGAUGUCCAUAUUGAAUUGAAAAAAGAUGCGAUGCCAAUUAUAUUAUAGGCAGAAUGUUACCGAUGAAUAUUUUCCAUUGUUUACCCACCUAAUGAUUCGUCAAUAAAUAUAUCCUUUCAAUUUCCGAUGUCUACCGAUGAAUAUAUCAAGAUAUCAUUAGUCAACAAAUACGACAACAAAUUUAUCAAGAUAUCUUGAUAUAUUCAUCAUCCAGAUCAUUCUAACCAAGGGAAGAGGACAUUGUUUACCCACUUAACCUUUCAAUUUCCUAAUGUCUACCCAUCACUCACUUUAUUCUAUAUGUCUCUAUCUAUCUACUUAUGCUCUGAUACCAUAUUAAUUGUCACGCCCCCGACCCGAGAUUUGAAUCGAGGGUCAUGGCAACUGCCGCAUACUUAUAGAAUACUUUUUCCAUAAGCAUGCAAGGCAUCUCAUCAUGAUAUCUUCACAAACAGUUAAAUAAAUUUUUCUUCAUUCAAUAAUCAAACCUUGGUUCAAAUAACAAAUCAAAACUAAGUGUUCAAAAGAAAGUAACUGUCUGACAA
rnacentral:lncRNA from 1 species